GUACGGGGGGGGUAAGCGUUGUUCGGAAUUACUGGGCGUAAAGGGCUCGUAGGCGGCCAACUAAGUCGGACGUGAAAUCCCUCAGCUUAACUGGGGAACUGCGUCCGAUACUGGGAAGGCUUGAAUCCGGGAGAGGGAUGUGGAAUUCCAGGUGUAGCGGUGAAAUGCGUAGAUAUCUGGAGGAACACCGGUGGCGAAGGCGACAUCCUGGACCGGUAUUGACGCUGAGGCGCGAAAGCCAGGGGAGCAAACGGG
rnacentral:rRNA from 1 species